CAAAGAAAGAAAAAAGACUACACACCGUUGCUGCUUUUGAAGAUGGAAGGGAAUCCAAUAAUGAGCCAAGGAAUGCAGGAGCCUUUAGAAGCCGAGAAAGGCGAGAAAAUGGCUUUUCCUAAAGUCUCCAGAAAGAACACAGCCCUGUUGAUACAUUUUCCAUAGCUGCCACUUCCCCUUAAGGCAACGCCUGCCUAGGGUCUGUCUGAUGACCUAAAUGGAGGAGAGGUAACAGGGUGAAAUGGAAUGAGCAUAUUAUCCUACUUUGAAUCAUAUAGUAAGGAAGAAUUUCCUGGGACAGAUAUUUAGCAAUGAACUGGAUUCCCCAGGCAGAAUUACCUAUUCUAUUAUGAAAAUUAUUGUAUUGAGCCGUA